rnacentral:rRNA from 1 species
ACGCUCGACACCUACGGGAGGAGCAGUGGGGAAUAUUGCACAAUGGGGGAAACCCUGAUGCAGCGACGCCGCGUGGAGGAAGAAGGUCUUCGGAUUGUAAACUCCUGUUGUUGGGGAAAAAGAGGAUGGUACCCAACAAGGAAGUGACGGCUAACUACGUGCCAGCACGCCGUACGGUAAUCUGAGGCGGGCUGGACGAAGGC